rnacentral:misc_RNA from 1 species
CAGCCAGCCAGCCAGGCGCUCAGUUAGUGGCGCACCCGCAACCUGUCCGUACCGGCGUGUUGCUCCACACCCACGUCUCCUCCACCUUCCCCCCAGCAGGGACCUGGAAUAUUCACCUCGUGAUACCGUGUCUACGCACUAGCAUAUUUGUCCGGGUGCCGUUGGCAGCGGUGCCAGGGAGUGAGGAGCGGGAGGAGGAACAGCAGCAGCUACAGCAGCCAGUAGUGUGGCGUCUGGAGUCCAGUGUGUGUGAGUGUGAGUGUGCUGCCUGAGCAGUGAUCCUCGACCCCGCAGCCUGGGAUGUGCUGGUGCAAGUGUAGUGAGAGAGAGAGCACCGGGAACACGAGUGAGCAGUGGUGGGCCACAGAGAAGAGUGGCGGCAGUGGUGUGUGGUAGUGUAGUGGUGUGUGAGAGAGGUGCCCUCGGACCAGGCACCGGUGAUGGCGCGCCCCUGGCGCCCCGGCUAUUAUGGUUGAGAAUGUGCGCGGCCAGUGCGGGCGUGCGGCGGUGACCAGGGUCGCCAGUAGUCGUGUGGAGUUGCGUGCGUGCCGUGUGCGUGCGUGCCGCGGCGUACACGUGGUGGGCGUAAAUUCAUGCGCCGCGCCCGCGCCCUGUCCCGCGCACUAUGGGUUGUGUGUCCCAGUAGUGGUCACCCUCACCGACCCAGACAGUGGACUAGGCACUGUCCAGCCUGACAGAGAGGCCAUUUUGAAAAUAGUUGAAGCCAACCGUAAGAAGGCUGCAGGUAAACGGCUUACAGCGUGUAGAGGGGAGGAAGUGAAGCAGCAGCAGCAGCAGCUGUCCCACACGCCGGCAGCCGCCCCCUCACCCCGGCCCACGCAGCAGCAGCAGCAGCAGCAGCAGCAGCAGCGGCACCACCGACAGGAGCCUCCACCCUCGGGGGCGGAUGUAGAACGCAUAGCGCUUGCCGUGCAGCGGUGGGCACAAGGCUUCGAUAAAGAGGAGAAACCAGAGCGACAUUAUCAGGAGAAAGGUCGCCAGUACGAGGAGCUGGUGGGCACGCUGGCCGAGCUGGCGGCGGAGAAGCGGGCAGGGCGCGUGGCCCCCGGCCCGGAGCCGCCCACGGGCGCCCCGCGUCAUCAUGAGGCAGUUCAACUCUUCUCUGAACUCAUGCAGACCGACGACGUCUCCACCAUAGCGGCGCAGAUCGCCAACCAGGCCGAGCUUAUCUACCAGACGUGGAAGACGACCGGUCUGAACCCCACCGAGCUUAUCCGCUACCACAGCGUUACCUCAGAGGGCAGCAGCCUGUUCGACGGGGCCGAGCAGGCUGCAGCUGGAGAGCCGAGCUGCGCCGGGCAGCCUUCACUGAACGUCAAGCCGCGCAUGCCCGCCAGGAGCCUCAGUCCUGCGCCGCCCGGCUCCUCGCCAGUGGUGUCCAGAAAACUAGUGGAACCUGCCCUUCACAACGGCAGGCCCCACGCCGCCUCCCCCGUCCGUACCCUCAACACCUCCCCACGCCCCUACGUGCCCCCGGGCUCGGCGCCACAGUCGCCAGGCGCGCAACACCAGCAACAACCAUUGUAUCCCAACAACAACAACGCUGCCCAAUCGGCGCCACAGUCCCCCCGUCAGGCUUACACCUCCCCUACCUCCCCCUUGUUGACACAGGGCAGCCCCCGGCCCUACGUAGCCCCGGCAGCUCCCCAGUCUCCUCGGGGGACUCUUACCCAGCCGCCCCCGCCCCCUGAGAGAUCCUCAUCCUACCCAGGUGUUGAUCCUGCUCAGCAGCAGCAGGAUAGUCCUCUCAAUCUUCUUGGCGAUCCUGAUUUCGAGGCGUCAUUGCAAGAGUUGGUGAACUCUUUUGUGCUGGAGGACAAGGCGCGUCACCACGCAGCCGCGGUCGCCGCCCUGGCGUCGCAACGACCAAAGAGCGCCCCCUCGACCAUCCAGGAGGCGCUCCAGAGGUUCGAACGACAGAUGGCCAUAACCUCCCGCGCGGCUGCCCACGCUGCUGAUCACAUUACUGGCCCCGCAUCUUUAAUGUCUUCGUCUAGCGCAAUGAGCAGCAUUGGACGAUUUGCGCAACAGCAGAUUGCUCACAUGGCGAGCAACAUGGCCAGCAGCGGCAUGAGCAGCAGUAGCUUGAGCCCCUCAAACAACAGCCCUACUGCCAAUGCAGCUGCACGACGGUAUGGCGGAGCCAGAAGCGACACCUCCGUGUCGACGGAGUGGUCACGCAUGCAGACGGAGCACGAGGCCCGUAGCCGUCGCUCCGCCUCUCCAAACCCGCCGGUAUCUCAGCCCGGCUGGAACGAAGGACCUCCGCCCAACACCUCCACUUGGCCCCUCAAGAACAAACAACCAGCAAUCAUUGAAAGAAAAUCAAAACAAAGUCACACUUCCUCUUCCCACGCCGUAUCGUCUGCGGGGGCGGCGUCCUCGUAUUCGUCCUCCACCAGCAGCACCGCCACCAACUACAUCACCACGCUGGAGACGCGGGUGGAGGGCUCAGGAGCCCAGAAGUACUCCAAUGUGCCACUUCGACACAAGGUUGUGACCAUGUCUGCCGUCGACCAGGAGGAGGAGCGUCUAAUGCACGCUCUCCGGACCGGCACGCUCAUUGAUGACGGCGACCACUUGAGACCCAUCGGUCAGGUUCGGCCCCUGUCUGCACCUUCCAUCCCCACCCACAGCCUUUCCCCCGCCCACCCGGCCAAUAAUACUGUCAUCACCGGCGGCCUCACCAACAGUACUGUGGCCCACUCUGAGACAACCGAGCUGCCUGCUCAGGCCAGGAGACCCAAGUAUUCCAUCAGUGUCACUGUUGAUGUUGACAAGCCAACAGAAAUUCAUCAACAGCGGGUCCAACAACAGCAACAGGGUCAACAACAAAAGAUGCAGACCCAGCAACAGAUUCAGCAACAAAAAAUACAGCAGCAGCAGCAGCAACAUCAGGCACAACAAAAAAUACAGCAACAGAUACAUCAACAACAAACGCAACAGCAGCUGCAGCAGAGUAACAUGAGGCAACAGCAGGUGCAGCAGAGCGUCAUAAGACAGGCGUCAAACGCGGCCACGACUCGUGACUCCCCCGCCCGACAGACAGGAAAGGCAGUCGAAGGCGACAUGUCGGCCGUGGACUUCGCUAAGGUUCGUUACCAGGAGUCUCAACAGCACCCACACUCCUCGCAGCGGCUGGAUGACUACCGCAGCAUCUCGAAGCAAGUCGUUAACGGGGACGGACGCGUCAUGAUGGCGCGGACCCGUUUCGAAAAUGGCAGCACCUCGCUGUCAGAUUCCAUGUGGAGGGGGACCCUCAGCAUCCAAGCGGAUGAAGUGGGUUCCACCCUGCCUGAAUUUUACCGACGCAAGUUACGUAAAAUGAGGAAGGCAGGGUCGCCGGAGCCGCUGGUCGCUGGCAGCAUUUCAGCUCUGCCGCACCCCGAGCUGACCGAUCAACAGAAAGCUCACAUCAGAGAGAGAUCGCAGUCUCCUACCACCGGAUACAACAGCGCAGGGGUAGCCAUCAGACCCUUCCUCACUCAGGGCAGCGUGGCCGAACGGGUCCUCAUCUUCGAGCGUGCCCCAACAGAGAUGAAGCCCAAGCCUGGAGCGCCCAUUGCAGCAGCUCCGGAGAAGCGCCGACCAGCCAUCUCUACCUGGCGCGAUCCUGACGAGGUUCGCUCCCUCGCCCAGUUUUGGAACAUCCUGAGCUUUUUGGGGGCGUUAGACGAUUUGACGGAUGGCCUCCAAUCCACCACGUCAGCGACCUCGCCGCCGUCAACGAUUCGACAGAUCGAGGCACCCCCGCCGGCAACGCAGGAGACAAAAGCACUGGUGAGUCGCGAGGAGGAGGAGGCGGAGGCGGAGCCGCAGCGUCUCUCAACCUCACGGCGGCCUGGCACGUACGUGCGGGAGAACAGCGCGAGCCAGAAGGAGAAUGCCCGCCCCUUGUCAGCGUCGGGGGGCAGCUCGCCGGUGUCGUCGCUCUCGCCCACCACCCCGACCAGCACCACGCCCACCACCAGCCCAACUCACCAGCAGAACGCCCACCCUGCCGCCCCGGGCUCUCCCCUGGGGCUGGCCGCCUCCCCGGGCUCUCCGGUCCACUCCCCCAGGACCACCAACACCUCGCGACGCCACACCAAAGCCACCAAGAACCUCCUCAUUCCCAGAUUCUAUUAUCCAAUGGGUCGACCAUCAAGCCAAGUGACACAGGAGCAGGCGCUAUCGCACGUGAACGCUGUGUUCCGGGAGCAGGGGGGCCAAGUAACACGGGAAAAUAUGGGGCCUAUUAUGCGGGCCUGCCAACUGCCCCUCUACUGGAAGGCCCCCCUCUUCAUCGCCGCUGGCGGGGAUAAGCUGGGCUACCUCACGCAGGAACAGUUUGUUGAUUACUGGAACCGAGUUAUUUCUACUUGUCACGAUAUGGCCUCUCGGUUUGUGCGGGUGUUGAGUCGUGGCAUGCGAAACUACCUCAUGCCUGAGGACUUCCUCAGCAUGAUCCAGGAUGUGGUGGACACACACCCUGGGCUAACCUUCCUUAAGGAGGCCACAGAGUUCCACUCCAGAUAUGUUCACACUGUCAUAGCAAGAAUAUAUUAUUGUGUAAAUAGAUCUUGGUCGGGCAGAAUAACUUUGCCAGAGCUUAGGAGAUCUAAUUUGUUACAAGUUAUAAUCUAUUUAGAUGAGGAAGAAGAUAUUAACCAAAUCACAGAUUACUUUAGCUAUGAACACUUCUAUGUCAUUUAUUGCAAGUUCUGGGAACUGGACACCGAUCAUGAUUUGUUCAUUGACAAGCAUGAUCUGGCCAAACACAAUGAACGAGCACUCUCUUGGCGUAUGAUUGAGCGUAUAUUUAGUGGAGCAGUGACAAGAGGACGGCUGCAGAAACAAGAUCGCAUGGGUUACCAAGAAUUUGUGUGGUUCUUAAUUUCUGAAGAAGACAAACGGCAUCCAACAGCUAUAGAGUAUUGGUUUAGAUGCAUGGACCUUGAUGGAGAUGGUUACCUAUCUAUGUACGAGCUGGAAUACUUCUAUGAAGAACAGUUGCAGCGUAUGGAAGCUUUGGGCAUUGAAACUCUACCUUUUCAUGAUUGUCUUUGUCAGAUGCUAGAUAUGGUUAGACCAGAGGAAAUUGACAAGAUCUCACUCAGGGAUCUGAAAAAGUGUCGAAUGACUCCCAUAUUCUUUGACACAUUUUUCAACCUGGAGAAAUAUUUGGACCAUGAGCAACGUGAUCCAUUUGCCUCCCACCGUGCUGAUGAUGACGGACCAGAGUUUCUGCAGGUAUCCGACUGGGAUCGUUAUGCUGCCGAAGAAUAUGAGCUUUUAGUUGCCGAAGAAGGAGGAGCAGAUCACCAAGACGACAUGUUCUUCUUGGGUGGAAGAUUAGAUGAUGGUGGAGGAGGUAGUGGAGAAACUUAAGUGCUUGGUGCACCUUGCAGGAUUGUGGAGGAGAGUCUUUGAGGCUGGUGCACAGAUAAUAAGGUUCUACGGAGACGAAGAUGAGUUA